rnacentral:rRNA from 1 species
AUACGGAAGAUGCGAGCGUUAUCCGGAUUUAUUGGGUUUAAAGGGAGCGUAGGCGGAAGGUUAAGUCUGCGGUAAAAUGGCCGUGCUCAACGCGGUCCUGCCGUGGAUACUGGUCUUCUUGAAUGUGCACAAGGAAGGUGGAAUUCGUGGUGUAGCGGUGAAAUGCUUAGAUAUCACGAAGAACUCCGAUUGCGAAGGCAUCCUUCUGGGGCAUGAUUGACGCUGAGGCUCGAAAGCGCGGGUAUCAAACAGGAUUAGAUACCCUGGUAGUCCGCGCCGUAAACGAUGAAUACCCGUCGUUGGCGAUACACGGUCAGUGACCAAGCGAAAGCAUUAAGUAUUCCACCUGGGGAGUACGCCGGCAACGGUGAAACUCAAAUGAAUUGACGGGG